AUGGCUGCUGGGGGCGGCGAGCCGGCGCUGCGGUCCAAGAGCGUGUGCGUGGUGGGGGGCGGCGUGGCCGGCCUGGCGGCGGCGCGCGAGCUGCGGCGGGAGGGUCACGCCGUCACGGUUAUGGAGCAGAGCGCCGACGUGGGCGGGCAGUGGCUGUAUGACCCCAGGACCGACGGCGAGGACCCGCUUGGCGCCGCGGCGCCGGUGCGCGUGCCCAGCAGCAUCUAUGCUUGCCUCCGCCUCAUCAGUCCGCGCGAGGCCAUGGGCUUCUCCGACAUCCAGUUCUUCCCCAGGGACGGCCCUGGCCGCGACUCGCGCCGCUUCCCAGUCCACGGCGAGCUGCACUGCUACCUCCGGGACUUCUGCGACGCCUUCGGCCUCAUGGACGCCGUCAGGCUCAACACCCGGGUCCUACUCGUCGCCCCGGCACCGACGUCGACGACGACGAUGCGUCAGUGGACGGUGAGGUCCGCGCGGCUCCUCGGCACCACCGAGGAUGAUGAUGUUGCGCAGGAGGAGGAGCAGGAGGAGGUGUUCGAUGCCGUGGUGGUGGCCACAGGCCACUACUCGCAGCCGAUGCUCCCGAGCGACAUCGAGGGCAUGGGGGAGUGGACGCGCCGGCAGCUGCACAGCCACUCGUACCGGACGCCGGAGCCGUUCCGCGGCGAGGCGGAGGUGCACCUUGCCGCGAGCUACGAGGCCACGGCCGCCACGCCGGCCAUGUCGAGGAUGCUGGCCAACCACGGCGACGUGCUGCGCCUGCACACGCGGAUCCACCGUCUUCACGCCGACGGGCGCGUGGAGUUCGCGGACGGCUCCUCCGUCGUGGCCGACACGGUCAUCUACUGCACGGGGUACACCUACUCGUUCCCGUUCCUGGACAUGGGCGGCGCGGUCACCAUCGAUACCGACGGCCACGUCGUCGGCCCGCUGUUCGAGCACGUGUUCCCGCCGUCCCUCGCGCCGUCGCUGUCCUUCGUGGGCGUGGCGAGGAAGGUCCUCAUCCCGUGGUUCUUCGAGGCGCAGGCGCGGUGGGUGGCGCAGGUGCUGUCCGGCCGCCGCGCGCUGCCGUCGGAGGAGGAGAUGCUGCGGUCCGUGGAGGAGCACCUCCGCGCGAGGGAGGCAGCCGGCGUGGCGAGGAAGCACACCCACAACAUCGCCGGCAUCGAGCCUGAGAAGAUGUACGAGUUCGGGGAGAGGUACUCCGACUUGCCGCCGCUGGAGGAGUGGAAGAAGGAGCUGGUCAUGUCCAGCCUCGCCAGUAUGUUGGCCGACGUGGAGACCUUCCGCGACCGUGCCUACGACGACAGCGAGAUCGUGCGGAAGGGCCUGCGGGGAUGGCUCGACUUGGCUGCUCAAGCUCAAGCAAAAUCUAUGGCUGUUGCCGUUGACGUUGAAGCUGAUGAAGACAUGGCGGAUGUAAGUCAUGAGUCAAUGAUGGAUUACUAUCAUAUUGCCAACAAGAUGUUUAAUAGUGAGGAUGAAGGUUAUACAUUCUAUAACAAAUAUGGUCUUGAGAAAGGUUUUAGUGUCCGGAGAAGCUAUGUCGAGUGGGAUGGAUCCAAUUGCCAUAUAAUUUUAAGGAAAUUUGUGUGUAGUCGUGAAGGGGUUCGUGAAGAGAAGCACAUGAAGAGGAAGAUGGAAGAUAGAAAGAGGAGGCCACAGAGUAUAACUCGUGUAGGGUGUAAAGCUAAAUUGGUGAUUGCAAGACAGGAGGAAACAGGAAAGCAGAGCGUGCUCCAAACCGUCGACCAACCGAUCGGCAUGGCUGCUGGGGGCGGCGAGCCGGCGCUGCGGUCCAAGAGCGUGUGCGUGGUGGGGGGCGGCGUGGCCGGCCUGGCGGCGGCGCGCGAGCUGCGGCGGGAGGGUCACGCCGUCACGGUUAUGGAGCAGAGCGCCGACGUGGGCGGGCAGUGGCUGUAUGACCCCAGGACCGACGGCGAGGACCCGCUUGGCGCCGCGGCGCCGGUGCGCGUGCCCAGCAGCAUCUAUGCUUGCCUCCGCCUCAUCAGUCCGCGCGAGGCCAUGGGCUUCUCCGACAUCCAGUUCUUCCCCAGGGACGGCCCUGGCCGCGACUCGCGCCGCUUCCCAGUCCACGGCGAGCUGCACUGCUACCUCCGGGACUUCUGCGACGCCUUCGGCCUCAUGGACGCCGUCAGGCUCAACACCCGGGUCCUACUCGUCGCCCCGGCACCGACGUCGACGACGACGAUGCGUCAGUGGACGGUGAGGUCCGCGCGGCUCCUCGGCACCACCGAGGAUGAUGAUGUUGCGCAGGAGGAGGAGCAGGAGGAGGUGUUCGAUGCCGUGGUGGUGGCCACAGGCCACUACUCGCAGCCGAUGCUCCCGAGCGACAUCGAGGGCAUGGGGGAGUGGACGCGCCGGCAGCUGCACAGCCACUCGGAGGUGCACCUUGCCGCGAGCUACGAGGCCACGGCCGCCACGCCGGCCAUGUCGAGGAUGCUGGCCAACCACGGCGACGUGCUGCGCCUGCACACGCGGAUCCACCGUCUUCACGCCGACGGGCGCGUGGAGUUCGCGGACGGCUCCUCCGUCGUGGCCGACACGGUCAUCUACUGCACGGGGUACACCUACUCGUUCCCGUUCCUGGACAUGGGCGGCGCGGUCACCAUCGAUACCGACGGCCACGUCGUCGGCCCGCUGUUCGAGCACGUGUUCCCGCCGUCCCUCGCGCCGUCGCUGUCCUUCGUGGGCGUGGCGAGGAAGGUCCUCAUCCCGUGGUUCUUCGAGGCGCAGGCGCGGUGGGUGGCGCAGGUGCUGUCCGGCCGCCGCGCGCUGCCGUCGGAGGAGGAGAUGCUGCGGUCCGUGGAGGAGCACCUCCGCGCGAGGGAGGCAGCCGGCGUGGCGAGGAAGCACACCCACAACAUCGCCGGCAUCGAGCCUGAGAAGAUGUACGAGUUCGGGGAGAGGUACUCCGACUUGCCGCCGCUGGAGGAGUGGAAGAAGGAGCUGGUCAUGUCCAGCCUCGCCAGUAUGUUGGCCGACGUGGAGACCUUCCGCGACCGUGCCUACGACGACAGCGAGAUCGUGCGGAAGGGCCUGCGGGGAUGGCUCGACUUGGCUGCUCAAGCUCAAGCAAAAUCUAUGGCUGUUGCCGUUGACGUUGAAGCUGAUGUGCAGGCCAUGGCUAAUUAA
rnacentral:rRNA from 1 species